rnacentral:rRNA from 1 species
UAAAGUGGCGAACGGCUGAGUAACACGUGGGCAACCUGCCCUUUGCACUGGGAUAGCCUCGGGAAACCGAGGUUAAUACCGGAUACUCCAUAUUUGUCGCAUGGCGAAUAUGGGAAAGCUCCGGCGGCAAAGGAUGGGCCCGCGGCCUGUUAGCUAGUUGGUGGGGUAGUGGCCUACCAAGGCAAUGAUGGGUAGCCGGGUUGAGAGACCGACCGGCCAGAUUGGGACUGAGACACGGCCCAGACUCCUACGGGAGGCAGCAGCAC